GACGAACCGUGCGAACGUUGUUCGGAAUCACUGGGCUUAAAGGGCGCGUAGGCGGGCUGACAAGUCUGGGGUGAAAUGCCGCGGCUCAACCGUGGAACUGCCUUAGAUACUGUCGGCCUCGAGGGAGGUAGGGGCAUGCGGAACUGUAGGUGGAGCGGUGAAAUGCGUUGAUAUCUACAGGAACUCCGGUGGCGAAAGCGGCGUGCUGGACCUCUUCUGACGCUGAGGCGCGAAAGCUAGGGGAGCGAACGGG
rnacentral:rRNA from 1 species